rnacentral:rRNA from 1 species
CAGCAGCCGCGGGAAUACGAAGGGGGCUAGCGUUGUUCGGAUUUACUGGGCGUAAAGCGCGCGUAGGCGGAUCGAUCAGUCAGGGGUGAAAUCCCAGAGCUCAACUCUGGAACUGCCUUUGAUACUGUCGAUCUGGAGUAUGGAAGAGGUGAGUGGAAUUCCGAGUGUAGAGGUGAAAUUCGUAGAUAUUCGGAGGAACACCAGUGGCGAAGGCGGCUCACUGGUCCAUUACUGACGCUGAGGUGCGAAAGCGUGGGGAGCAAACAGGAUUAGAUACCCCAGUAGUCCCUGUCUCUUAUAA